GGACCAGGCUCGGUUGAGUUCUCGACUGAAGAAGAAGAGUGCGGUUGGAGUGCGAGAGGGUCGCGGCCGCGAUGAUCCGACAGAUGAAGAAAUAAUAAGAGGGGCGACAUAAAAGGGGGAAGAAAGCGUCUAUUCUACUACACACAACAAUGUUCCCGAAAGGCAAAGGUACACCGGUGCCCUCGGACGGCCAAGCCCGAGAAAAGUUGGCUCUCUAUGUCUAUGAAUAUUUGCUUCACAUCGGAGCACAGAAGUCGGCUCAGACCUUUUUGUCAGAGAUACGGUGGGAGAAGAACAUAACUCUUGGAGAACCCCCUGGAUUCCUGCAUUCCUGGUGGUGUGUGUUCUGGGAUUUAUAUUGUGCUGCACCAGAGAGAAGAGAGACAUGUGACCACUCCAGUGAAGCAAAAGCCUUCCAUGACUACAGUGCAGCAGCAGCCCCCAGCCCCGUAAUGGGUGGGAUGCCCCCUGGUGACGGUAUGCCGGGAGGACCGAUGCCGCCUGGAUUUUUCCAGGGUCCUCCUGGUCCCCAGGGCUCUCCUCACCCUCAGCCUCCUCCCCCUAACAAUAUGAUGGGACCACACAGUCAGUCCUUCAUGUCGCCUCGCUUUGCCGGGGGCCCGAGAGGUCCUCCCAUAAGGAUGACAAAUCAGCCCCCAGGCGGAGGACCAGGCCCUCAUCCCAUGUUGCCUAAUAUGGACCCCACACGACCACAAGGUCACCCUAACUUGGGGCCCAUGCAGAGAAUGAGUGGCCCUCGAGGCAUGGGGCCAAUGGGUCCAGGCCCUCAGAACUUUGGUGGUGGAAUGAGACCCCCACACAACACCAUGGGUCCCGGCAUGCCAGGAGUGAACAUGGGUCCUGGGACUGGUCGGCCAUGGCCCAAUCCGAAUAAUGCUAACUCUAUGCCUUACUCAUCGCCAUCUCCUGGCGCGUAUGGGGGAGCAUCAGGAGGAGGACCCCCAGGGACUCCCAUCAUGCCCAGUCCCGCAGACUCCAACAACUCUGGUGACAAUUUGUACACCAUGAUCAACACUGGACCUGGCAACCGAAAUAAUUUCCCCAUGGGCCCUGGCUCUGAUGGACCCCUGGGAGCCAUGGCAGGGAUGGAACCACAUCACAUGAACGGGUCACUAGGUUCUGGUGACAUGGAUGGAAUGAAUAAGAAUUCUCCAAACAAUUUAAGUGGCAUUAGCAAUCCUCCCGGGACCCCAAGGGAUGAUGGAGAGCUGAGUGGGAACUUCCUCCACUCCUUUCAGAGCGAGAACGGAGGUGGCUCAUGGGUCAAGGAAGAACCUGUUUCAUAUUGGUGAGGAUCUGGAUAAAGAAGAUGCGUUGAGCACACCAUCAAUACGCUAACAGACAACAACAAGGGUCUCUUGUUUUACUACACCAACGUUUGUAAGAAGAACAAUUUUAUUCAAGACGAGACUUGAGGGCUGCAGCAGCAGUGGAGACUAUGGCAUAUAAUACUGCAGCAACAGGUACUCUCCAACCAUGACAAUGAGUGUGUGACCUCCUCCCUUUUGCUCCUCCAUGUCCCAACUGCCCUACCCAGCCUAAUUUGCCAUCAUUCCAAGGAUUUGAACUCCCUAUCAGCCAAACACAUCAGCAAAUCAGGGAUCCACACCAUUAAAAAUAAAUACAUUUUUAAAAAGUAUCCUUGCUCAAAGAAAGUGAAGGACAUUUUAUCCAUAUUUGUUGCAAACCAGCUACUGAAUCAUCUCCCUAUUAGUCCUCUCCUCUAUCACCUUUUAGAGCAAACACUUGUUUACCUCUUGUACUUUUUAUUAUGAGUUACUGCUCGGUGCAGGAAGUGUCUCCCGCUUUGAAACACUGGAGAGUGUACAUACAUACAGUACAUUGUGAGCUUUCAAAGUUGUUUUUUUUAUUUUAUUUUUUUAUUAUUGCUUCUUGCCACAACAGUUGCUGCCUGCCUUACUGAUAGACAUCAGCCAUGCUUGUUCCCUGCUUCGUGUUGAUUCCGGUCAGUCUACAAAUGAAAUGAGAAGCUCAGAAUUAUGUCACACACUGCCCAACAUUGUAAUAUUUUGUUCUAUUUAAGUAUUUUUUUUGUUACCGUGAUGACCUUUCACAGUAUGCAUGUCAAAGUGAUCCCAUUCACGCCAAUGCAUGAAUGCUGAGACUCCUGUGUACAAACAUACUACCUAGUGCUGCUGUGUGGACACCUGCUUUAAAUCAUCCUAAUUGUCGUAGCCUUCUGUGUGUCAUUUUUGCCUCAUUUAUGAUGCCUUUUCAACCUCUCCCUGCACAUUUUUAUUUCUUGGUAAUAUUUUGAUACGAUCUUUGACUACAUAUAAAUGGCCCCAGUUAUCCAGAGAUAGUUGAAGUGCUCUAAACUGAUUCUUGUUGGCAUCGUUAUUAAACUUAGAAGCAGUCUUGUAAAUGUGAUGAGGAUUUUUUUUUUAAUUGUUCCUCCUCCUGUGAACAUUAUACAUGUCAGUCCUAUGUUGCCUUUAUUUGCUUAUAUUUUUUUAUUUCAAAAUUGAGGAAAGAUUGCUUGUUAAUAUAAUUUUACAAUAACUUAA